GACGAACGCUGGCGGCGUGCCUAAUACAUGCAAGUCGAACGCAGUGGGGACGGGUGAGUAACACGUGGGUAACCUCCCAUCAGAGGGGAUAACACUUGGAAACAGGUGCUAAACCGAUACUGAUGGAUGGACACGCGGUGCAUUAGCUAGUUGGGGGGGUAACGGCUCACCAAGGCCACGAUGCAUAGGCGGCCGUGUGAGGUGAUCGGCCAACAUGGGAACGAGGCACCGCCCCAGACUCUACGGGAGGGAGCAGUAGGGGAACUUCGGACAAGGAAGGAAGUCUUGCCGCGCAAAGCCGCGGGGGUGAAAGAAGGUUUCGGGUCGUAAAACUCUGUUGGUAGGGAAGCGGUAACUAACCAAAAAGCCACGGCUUAAUACGUGCCAGCAGCCGGCGUAAUUAC
rnacentral:rRNA from 1 species